GUAUAGGGGAGCCGGAGGGAAACCGAGUCUUAACCGGGCGUUAAGUUGCAGGGUAUAGACCCGAAACCCGGUGAUCUAGCCAUGGGCAGGUUGAAGGUUGGGUAACACUAACUGGAGGACCGAACCGACUAAUGUUGAAAAAUUAGCGGAUGACCUGUGGCUGGGGGUGAAAGGCCAAUCAAACCGGGAGAUAGCUGGUUCUCCCCGAAAGCUAUUUAGGUAGCGCCUCGUGAAUUCAUCUCCGGGGGUAGAGCACUGUUUCGGCUAGGGGGCCAUCCCGGCUUACCAACCCGAUGCAAACUGCGAAUACCGGAGAAUGUUAUCACGGGAGACACACGGCGGGUGCUAACGUCCGUCGUGAAGAGGGAAACAACCCAGACCGCCAGCUAAGGUCCCAAAGUCAUGGUUAAGUGGGAAACGAUGUGGGAAGGCCCAGACAGCCAGGAUGUUGGCUUAGAAGCAGCCAUCAUUUAAAGAAAGCGUAAUAGCUCACUGGUCGAGUCGGCCUGCGCGGAAGAUGUAACGGGGCUAAACCAUGCACCGAAGCUGCGGCAGCGACGCUGAUGCGUUGUUGGGUAGGGGAGCGUUCUGUAAGCCUGCGAAGGUGGCCUGUGAGGGUUGCUGGAGGUAUCAGAAGUGCGAAUGCUGACAUAAGUAACGAUAAAGCGGGUGAAAAGCCCGCUCGCCGGAAGACCAAGGGUUCCUGUCCAACGUUAAUCGGGGCAGGGUGAGUCGACCCCUAAGGCGAGGCCGAAAGGCGUAGUCGAUGGGAAACGGGUUAAUAUUCCCGUACUUGGUGUUACUGCGAAGGGGGGACGGAGAAGGCUAUGUUGGCCGGGCGACGGUU
rnacentral:rRNA from 1 species